AGUUUGAUCAUGGCUCAGAACGAACGCUGGCGGCAGGCCUAACACAUGCAAGUCGAGCGCUCACUUCGGUGGGAGCGGCGGACGGGUUAGUAACGCGUGGGAAUAUGCCCGGUACUAAGGAAUAGCCUUUGGAAACGAAGAGUAAUACCUUAUACGCCCUUCGGGGGAAAGAUUUAUCGGUAUCGGAUUAGCCCGCGUAAGAUUAGAUAGUUGGUGGGGUAAUGGCCUACCAAGUCUACGAUCUUUAGCUGGUUUUAGAGGAUGAUCAGCAACACUGGGACUGAGACACGGCCCAGACUCCUACGGGAGGCAGCAGUGGGGAAUCUUAGACAAUGGGCGCAAGCCUGAUCUAGCCAUGCCGCGUGAGUGAAGAAGGCCUUAGGGUCGUAAAACUCUUUCGCCAGAGAUGAUAAUGACAGUAUCUGGUAAAGAAACCCCGGCUAACUCCGUGCCAGCAGCCGCGGUAAUACGGAGGGGGUUAGCGUUGUUCGGAAUUACUGGGCGUAAAGCGCACGUAGGCGGACUGGAAAGUUGGGGGUGAAAUCCCGGGGCUCAACCUCGGAACUGCCUCCAAAACUA
rnacentral:rRNA from 1 species